UAGAACUCUCAAACAAUUUAUAAAACAUCCUACAAAAUGAGUAUCUCCAAAAAAUGUAUAUUAAUCGCAUUUGUUUUCACUUUUUUUUUCGCGAUGUCAAUUGUUAGCUGCACCGAUAUUGUUUCAGAUUUCGGAGUAAAGAAAGCAUAUAAUCUAUGCUAUGGUCCAUGUGACGACAAAGGAGUGUGUACGCCGUUUUGUUAUACCAAAAAGGGUCCGAUAAGGGGAGACUGUGUUGGUGGCACUUGUUGUUGUGCUGAACACUAAAUAAAAUAUUAAAUAAUAUCAUUAGAUAUUAUAUCUUGUAUGAAAUGAAAUAAUACUACCAAUAAUACAUAAAAUGCUUUUACAAAAAAAAUAUAUAAAAUGUUAUUAAAUUGAAGUUA